CCUGCAGAAAUGUCUCUCUAUCCAUCUCUUGAAGAUUUGAAGGUAGACAAAGUACUACAGGCUCAGACUGCCUUUUCUGCAAACCCUGCCAACUCAGCCGUUCUGUUGGAAGCUUCUGCCCCCAUCUCCCAAGAUGGAAAUCUCUGUCCCAAACUGUAUCCAGAGCUUUCUCAGUACAUGGGCUUGAGUUUAAAUGAAGAAGAAGUGUGUGCCAUGGUCCCUGGAGCGCCAGUGCAGGAGGUGGGUAUAUGUGUUCAGCUCGUUCAGGCCAACUCUCCAGCCUCUCUGGUUGGUCUGAGAUUAGGGAUCAAGUCCUCCAGAUCAAUAGUAAGAACUGCGUGGGCUGGAGUUCGGACAAAGCACACAAAGUGCUCAAACAGGCUUUCGGAGAGAUUACCAUGACCAUUCGCGACAGGCCCUUUGAACGGGCAAUUAUCAUGCACAAGGAUAGUACUGGACAUGUUGGUUUUAUCUUCAAAACUGGAAAAAUAACAUCCAUAGUGAAAGACAGUUCUGCUGCCAGAAAUGAUCUUCUGACUGAACAUAACAUUUGCGAAAUCAACGGCCAGAAUGUCAUUGGGUUGAAGGAUUCUCAAAUAGCAGACAUACUUUCAACAUCUGGAACUAUAGUCACCAUAACAAUCACACCUGCUUUUAUCUUUGAACAUAUUAUUAAACGGAUGGCACCAAGCAUUAUGAAAAGCCUGAUGGAUCACACCGUUCCUGAGGUUUAGAAGUAUGUAGCAUG